UACGAAGGGGGCUAGCGUUGUUCGGAAUUACUGGGCGUAAAGGGCGCGUAGGCGGUGCCUCAAGUCAGGCGUGAAAGCCCCGGGCUCAACCUGGGAACCGCGCUUGAGACUGGAGUACUAGAGUUCGGGAGAGGAUGGUGGAAUUCCCAGUGUAGAGGUGAAAUUCGUAGAUAUUAGGAAGAACACCAGUGGCGAAGGCGGCUCACUGGCCCGGUACUGACGCUGAGGUGCGAAAGCGUUGGGGAGCAAACAG
rnacentral:rRNA from 1 species